rnacentral:rRNA from 1 species
UUGACCUCGGAUCAGGUAGGAAUACGCGCUGAACUUAAGCAUAUCAAUAAGCGCAGGAAAAGAAACCAACAGGGAUUACUCAGUAACG